UUGCUGAUGCGCUGUAUGCUGUCAGUCAUCCGGCCACACGUGACUGGUUGUUCCAUAACAGUAUCUAGCAGACGUGAGGCAGAAUUUCACUAAAAUAAUUUUUUGUUUGAUGAUAAGGCAUUUCUGAUCUGUAAAUUUCGUUUGAAGACUUCUCACGUGCAUAUCGAAAGGAAGGGCACGCGCACAACAGACCGUAAGCUGCGGCCGUUUCUCAAUCCGAAGGAUGCAGCCUGCAUACGUCAUCAAGCCUGGUUUAUUUAAGUUAACUGGGCAUUAAAUUCGCAAGUCAUGAGCAUAUUACAACAUUUUACGAUUAACUAAGAAUAAUAGUCAACUUUAUAAUUGUUAAUAUUAUGAAAUAAGACAGUCUUGAUGACGUAUGGAUCCUAGAAAUGCGACCUCCGGAGGCUGCAGCCUUCGGAUUGAGAAACGGACUACGUCACAGUACAUGAGCGCGUAAAAGGCUGCGUCGAGUUUUUCCUGAGUUAAAUCUACUGAUGUUUUGCAGUGCAGUCUGACUGAGGGGAAGUGACUGAAAAUCACUAAGAGCACUAAGGUGCUGCCACACUUCUUCUCUAGCACAGGAUGAGGACACGCCCAUCCAGCAAACACAGAUGGACUCUAUCAGCAGCUGUGUCUCAAGGAGCUCUUCAGAACGGUCCAAUCAUUUCUGUCUGGGUUUCUGCUGAAUGGAAACUGCCACGUCCCUCCAUCCCGAAGUUUAAACUUAGCCUAAUAUAUCUGAUGUAUUUGAUCAUGACCACGGUGGACAUCUCCGCUCCUGAAUGCACAAUGUGACGGACGCUUUGUCUCUUUCAUCACAAGACCAAGAAGGAUGUGUCAGGACGUCUGCGCAGGAGACCCAGACACGAGUAUGUCAAAACUACGCUUUCUGACGCACUGUCAACAAAAUGACAAGGUGCGACAAAACUCAAGGGUUUGGAAGUCAGCUCGCAGACAUCUUCCAUCAAACAAACAAAGAAGCAUGUGGGUAAACAAACAUUUUGAGUGCUCUGUUGUGAGGGCCAGCCGAGCGUCUGAUGACUGAAUCAAACAGAGAGAGAAAUCAAUAUGGAAAUUGAAGAGGAAGUCAAAAUAGCCACCUUCAUAUUUCCAGGGAGCCUUUGGAGAUGACAGCAGAAGGCAGGUAACCCGGAGAAAGGCCUUUGCUCUUUCCGAAGACGUCUGUCCUCACAUCGCCCCGAAACACCUCAGGGGGAACAGAGAGAAAAACCCUCAUUAGGAAAACAAACUAGUCUCUGACUAAUGAGGCAAAAUCCAUUUGGGUCUUUCCUCUAAUAGUGCCUGAAGUCAUUAGAGCGUCGACUGAAGUCUUCCUCCACUCCUCUACCUCCACCGCCAAACGCUUUCAUCUACUUACAGCCAAAAUCCACAGCUUUCUAAUAAGUUUAACUGUUGCCUCACUGUAAUAGAGAUAUUAAUGAACAGUUCUGCCUUUAAUGUCUGAUUGAAUGUGCUUGCGUUAAUAUCCUUUCUGACUGCUAACCAUAAAUACAUUAUAUUUAGACAGAAGUGGCAUAAAAAUAAUUCUAUAAAUCUAAAUGUUGUUGCUAUGCAACAAAAAUUGCUAUGAUAAGGUUUUAGCUGUGCUAUACCUUGAUUAUAUCACGAAUAUUGACAAAUUUUAUUGAUUAUGGCUCAUUUUACAGGGGUCAUGAGACCGUGUUACAAGCCAUGAUGUACUGUGGUUAAGGGUUGUGUGCUUUAUGCCAGCAUCUCUAAUUCAUAGUACAGUAAAAUGCAGUAUCACCCAGUCUCUCGUGGCUUAUUUCUUUAUUAUUAUAUUGUUUAAAUGCCAGUAUGGCAUAUUUAGCACUGAAAUAAUAGCAAGUAAAUAGGUGCUAAAUAAAUCCUAAUGAAAAUUGAGUUAGUUAAUCCCGUGUGAAAUCGCAAAAAUAAACACCGUAAUUUGACAUCUGUGCCUGAUAUAUUAACCAGAUGUCUCGCCGUUAUUAUUUCACGCUGUUUUAUUUAGAUAGUAUGUAAACAAAAUGUAUUUGAAUAUUUAAUUACACUAUAUAGGAAGGGAAAAAUCCUUUUUGAUUUUUUUAUAUAGAAAAUAGUAAACCAUCUGGAGAGAAAAAUGCCUCAUGUUAGGGAUUUGACUUUGUCUCAUCCAAUGAUUCAUUCUUCUUCGUAUCUCAUCUACCUCGCCUACCGGGUGGACAGAUGGACCCCUGACUCCCGAGGGUCGGCCAAUGAAAUCAAACCUGCCAAUCAUCCUCAUCUCCUCUGUUCAAUAGACUGUUGAUAUGUCUCAAAUCCUCUGAGAUGUCAAUGUGUGUCUUUUCUCAUUUAGUCUUUCUAGAUUCACCUGGACAAACGGGACAAACGUCUGCCCGGGGCAUUUUACUGCUAGGGAGCCAACAGGGAUCCUCGGUUACAUCUUUGAAAUGGACAGAAAGGCAAAAUCUGAUGCUUUCUAUUACUUAGCUAAGGUCAUGAUGGGUAUGCGGUCAUUAUUUUUGAAAGGUUCGUGUUGGAUUUGCUAAUUGAAAAGUCUGUCUACCGAAUUUGUGGCGUGAUGUCCAUUAGUGCAGAAAUGUAUUUAAUUUUAUCUUUAUUUUUGUUGCACAUGAAAGGAAAAAGCACAUGAAAGGAUUAACUGUAAAUCUCACCUCCAGGUAAUAAUUUAAAACAAAUGAUAGAUGGAAACCUGUACACAUUGCAUGUAGUAAUUUUAAAACUAUAUUGUAUCCAUAGGCAACAAGCGGCAGGUGAUGCUGUACAUGACUUUGAUGUUAAAAUAGCACAAGAACGAUCCAACAUUGUAUGUGCUAUACGAGAUGGACCGUCUUUCCCAAGGCUGUGCGUUUCCUUCGAUUGACCGCUUUGGGAUCCAGGUUUCUUCUGUUGUGUAUAUUCGGUUUCAAGUUGAGAAAAAGUGGCCAAUUAGGAAAGCCACGGUAUUGAUCUGGGAAAGAUGCCAAGCUCACUUAUACACACACAGAGAGAGAGAGA